ACAAGUGUUAAUAAUGUGAAAUCAACAUGGCAACAUUAUGUUAACCUACAGUACAGUACUGUAAUGCGAAUGCAAAUGAAACUGCAGCACUGUUGUUUGGUAAAGCAUGUACAUGUAUGCGAAAUGAGCAUCUUUAGAUCCAAUUUAGUGUAUCACCUUCGUCGGAUACCCACGAUUGAUAAACAUGUCACAUAACAUGCAAUCAACCGUGGGUAAAAGAAUCGAUUUGCGUCGAUAUACAGCAACAGGUGCGUAAACAUCGCGUUUAACAAAUCUAUAUUCCUCAACAGCGGAGGUAAAAAACAAUAAGAAACAAAAUGGCAGCGCCCACGGUUAAAAACUGUUGUACGUAUCUUGCUAAAAAUCAAUGGCAAAAACUAACGCCAAAUCAGUUCUUCUGCAAGCAGAUAUCAAUCAGAAAGGAAACAUCAUGCUGUAAAAGUAAAUUAUCUAUACUUUCUUGCUGGAAAUCGUUUAAUUUUUCCAUGUUGAAUUUUUCACGUCCUCUAUGGUUGUCGCAAUAUUGUUUGUAAUACCGAACGUCGUACAGAACGAGCGUUUCGAUUGGUUUUAAUCGCCUCAUGAAAUCGUCAGGCAGCCAAUGAAAUAGCUGCCUUUGACACACCUCUAAUCAACUGCAUAUCAGCAAAAAAUCCCACGGCUGAUAAAUGUUAAUGGUUCGGCUGUGGGUAUCCGAUGAUGAUGUAUCACAUGAAAAGAGGAUUGUAAACAAAGGACAAGUAACUUGUGCAGACAGAUAUAAGGCAGCAUGGAUAGUUAGUACUUGGUGCAUCUGCUGAUCAAUGUGUUUGUAAAAGAGGACAUUAACAAUGAUGAGGCUGUAUACCUACCACCAGGAUUACUGCUGAAUGAUGGACGGUUUACAGCUAAACAAUCCUAUGAUUGGAAUCAAUAUCCAGGGACAGCUCUCCCUUAAAGGGUCCAAGUGUUGUGACCUUGUUAUUUUGCCAACAAAGGACAUAUAAGUCCUCAAGAUAGUUAAGAAGAAAGUUAUAUAGACUAUUAAACAUUUCAUCAAUUUACCAAUAUCUGUAAGGUCUUUAUAUUGAAUAUGGUACAUUGUGUAUAAUUUAAUACAUUCCAUAAUAACUUUGUUUCUACAUGCACAUGAAUAAAAAUAACACUUAAGUAUGGUCAGUGAUCUACAAUUUUUACCCUGAAUGUAUGUAAGAAGCUUUAUGUGAAUGCUUUUAAUGAUUAAUGAAAACAUAUACAUAGGUUAAGGUCUUUAAGUUGUUUCUGAAUAUAUACCUUGGAUGGUACAUGUUUGUACUGACUGUAUAUUCACUUGUCUUAGAUGUCAAAACUAUAGUUGUUCAUGUAUGUCAAAAUCAAAUAUCUAUAUUUCUUGAAGUGAUAACUUUACUGAAUCAUUCUCUUGAAUAACAUUAUGAAAUGUUUGAUUCAUGUUCAAAACUUGAAAGGAAUACACAGCAAUAUGGUGUUCUUCUCUGUAUUCAAUUGGAUUAAAGCAAAGAUUUAUGUGUUACAAUUCAUCUGAAAGUAAAAUAACAUGAGAUAAAUCAAUGUAACAUAUGUGUUUAUAUGGAUAUUUAUUGAUUUAUUGUUACUUGAAUGCAUUAAAAAUUGUUGGGAUUAAUAUUAAAAACACAAAGAAAUCAACACAAAAGGGACAAUAAUGAAAUAAACAAUUGUAAAGAUGUGAAACUUUCUACAGAAUUCCCUGGAAGUGACAUUUUAUCUUUAAUGUGCUAAGUUUAUAAUCAUCUUUGUCUUAUUACUGCUCUUGUCUGAAUGGUACCCUGUGUCUGUCAAAACAUAUUAUUUUUAUAUUGUUAUCUAGUUUCAAGAUUGUUUUCUAGUAGAUAUGUACAUCAAUUCUAAACAGGUAUUAUUAAAAAUUUAUAUGAAUUAGAAAAAGUUGUAACAUGUCAUUUCAGUGUCAUAAUUUACUGUCCUAUAUUCAUUUAUUGUCAUACUGGAAUAAUAAUAAAUGACUUUGUAACAUUCUAACACUUACUGUUCUGUAGAUACUUUCACAAAUAAGCCAGCCAUACUGGGAUCCUACAUAUUACCGGACAAAAUAUGUUUUUUCGCUGUAAUUUUUUUUUUAAUAAUAAAAAAGAAUGGAAUUUUACCCAAAUAAUUUUGGGUUUUUAUAACACGUAAACAUUACUUUAUCGGACAUAAAAUUAAAAAUUUGACCAUAGUAAUGUGUCUUUAAAGUAGGGCAUUAUAAGAGAAAAAAUUCGUGUAGACAGCUCAAUUUACCGGACAUUGUGUUUCAAAAUCUUUUGAAGUCGUGAAUUUAAAUUUAUCUUUAAAUAAUCAGCAUGGAAACUACGACUAUUGAAUGUCAAGGUUAAGAUAUUUGAAGAACCCAGGCAGCCAUGCUUGUUACGAAGAGGCCAAUAUUUGGGGUGUAAUUGAAAUUAACACUUUAAUAAUUAACUCAAUUAACGUAUUGAGUCUUCAUGAUCCUUAAAUGUAUGAAACAUUUUGAUAUUCAAAUGGAUUUCUGUUCUUUGUUAUAAAGUUCCCUUUUGGUGAUCAUGUGGCAUGUUACAAAAGCCAUAAAAUCUAUUUUUAGCUUGACUUUUUUUGAAAAAAAAGUAGAGGUAUUGUUAUAGUCCUGGCGGCGUUGCCAUUGCUGUCCGCAAACUUGUACAAACUUGAGUACCCCUCAAGCAAUUCUCUUGUAAUUUUGUUGUGAUUAAUGCUUCAGAGGGAUCACUUUGUUUCCAGAUUUUUAAACUUCACAACAGCAGGACUGGUGUCAAGUGCUGUGUGGCAGCUGUAAAAAGUUGCCCCGUACUUCACUUCAGUGUUGUUAUAUUUUUCUGGUCCUUCGGGAUCAUUGAUGCCAGCACUAUUGAGUGUUGAGAGUUGAGUACCGCUCAAGCCAGUGCUAGGGGGCAUGAGGGAUGUUGCACUUAUUCAUUAUCCCUCAUGUACAGACUCAAUCAAACCGAGUCUGCAAUUCUCUUGUAAUUUUGUUGUGAUUAAUGCUUCCGAGGGAUCACUGUGUUUUCAGAUUUUGUACCUGGAUCAUAACAUUUUUAGUUCUUGGUGUAUUGUCUUCAUACUUGGCCACAACAACCCUUAGGACAAGACCUUUCAGUAGACCACACUAACCUUGACCUUCAUCCAUAAAUAAUCUUGAUCUUCAAGGACAAACGUCAAAAUUUUGCUUGUUCUUGCUAUUUUUGGCUGUAACUUUGUUAUUUUUGAAUGGAUUGUCUUCAAACUUAAUCAUAUGUACGAGGGGUGUCCCAGAAUUACGUGGACUUUUGCUAUAACUUUUUUAUUUUUUAAUGCAUUUUUUAGCAAAUUUGUACACAAUACCUUUAACAUAUCCUUAAUGAAUAUGUCCAUUAUUUUUAAAUUUCUAACAUUGCUUCUCUAUAUUUUACGUCGCUAUAGUAACGCAGUAUGCGCAGGGCGGGGCAGUCCAAUAUUUUGUAUUAAUAAGUUGUCUUUACUUUCGUAUAUCUUGCGUAUUUAUACGUAAAAAUGGCGCGACGUUGUAAGCAUAUGCAGUGACGUCAUAUAAACGUUCGUUUGAAAUUUUGAUGUCAUAGCUGUUUCCGUUAUUGUUUACCAGCGGACAACUGACAACAGUUGCUCUUGGAUAUUUAACAAAAAAUGACGUCCACGGAUUACGCGGAACAUCGGACUAUCAUCAAGUUUUGUGUUAAUCUUGGGAAGACGCCAACACAGACGCAGGAAAUGUUGGAGACUGCAAAAAUGAGACCUCCUGUUUGUCGAUCACUCGUUUUCAAGUAGCAUAAGCGUUUUCGAGACGGACGGAAGGACAUUGAAGUCGACAGGGGUCGUGGGAGAAAGUCAACGUUCACUGCGGCGUCAAUUAAGGAAGUCAAGGACUAUCAUAGAUCGGGACAGGCGUUACAAUGCUGAGUACUAUUCAAGGGUAAGCAAUAAUUUUGUGUUUAAAAAAAUAAUUUUUAAAAAUUAAGCUAAUCACAAUUUAUUAUUUUAAACGCAAUUUAUUCGCUUCAGCUCUUAUUGAGAAAGUGAACUCAAACUGCUAUAGUAAGCAGUGCGCAUGAUAGG